GGGGAGCGUACAGGGUAGCCGUAGGGGACCUGUGGCUGGAUCACCUCCUUUCUAAGGAUGAUCAAGAAUUGGAACUCCCUCCUUACGGAGAGUGUUUUCCUUUUUGAUCUCAUUAGACAUAAAGGUUUAAAGCAAUUUAAACCUUGUGCAUAUGACACUCACUUUAAAAGAUAGUUCUCAUUUUAAAAGAGGCCCCUACCUCUGAAAGAGUGAAGGCGCCCUUUAAGGUGCAGUGCUCAUGUGUUUAAGAUACAUAAACAGGCUAGCCGUCUUCGUUUCUCUUUCUUCAGAUGAUGAUCCCAAGCCUUCUGGCGAUCUAGACAAAACAAGUCCACCGUGGGCUUUGAAAAACGCUUUCCUUGAUAAAAUUUAAGCGUUUUAUAAGAGGAUGCCGGGGAAGGUUUUCCGGUUUAUCCCGGAGGGCUUGUAGCUCAGUUGGUUAGAGCGCGCGCUUGAUAAGCGUGAGGUCGGAGGUUCAAGUCCUCCCAGGCCCACCAGUUUAUCCAUUACUUUCAUAAGUGCUUUUAAAAAAUAAGUACUUCUAAAAAGAUUGCUUCUAAAAAGAUUGCUUCUAAAAAGCUUAUCAAAAUUGGCAGGCUUAUUGCUUUUGUGUGAGUAAUCCAAAGUUAAAGCAAAUUAAUGGCAAAAAAACAGUUCAAAUGCUAAAUACUAAGGAGUCAAAAUUCCUUGCAAAGUGAUUUUUACAGCGUCCAUUUGGUUGAUAUAAAUUCCAAAUGCUCAUAGACGUCAAUGCCUAUAUGAAACUAUCGGUUCAAUCAUAUCGCUUUGAGUUAUAUAGAUUUUGUAAUCCCUCUUUUGAUCGUUUUAAACGCUUUAUCCUGAUUUAGGGGCCGUAGCUCAGCUGGGAGAGCACCUGCUUUGCAAGCAGGGGGUCGUCGGUUCGAUCCCGUCCGGCUCCACCAUAAGGUCAUCAUCAUUGUUGUAAGAACAGUUUNGUAA
rnacentral:tRNA from 1 species